rnacentral:rRNA from 1 species
CCCUAUCAAACUUUACUUUAGUUUAACUGGGGCAGUUAAUUAAUAAAAAUUUUAAUAAAGAUUAAGUACUAAAUAGANNNCCCAACANUAGUUGAUUACANUGAACAAGUUACUGUAGGGAUAACAGCGUAAUAUAUAUCUAAAGUUCUUAUUUUGAUAUAAGUUUGCGACCUCGAUGUUGAAUUNAUAUUACUUUCAAGCGCAAGAGCCUGAAAAGUGGGUCUGUUCGACCCCUAAAUAUAUACAUGAUUUGAGUUCAAAUCGGUGUAAACCAGAUUGGUUUCUAUCUAUUNUUAUUUGUGUCUUAGUACGAAAGGACCUGAAACAAUAUUAUAUAAUNAUUUAUAUGGCAGAAAAAUGCUUUAGAUUUAGGAUCUAAUUAUAAUAGGUUAUCAUACUUUAUUUAACUUGCCUAAUCUCUGUUAUUAGAAUCCUUAUCGCAGUAGCUUUUUAUACCCUCCUAGAACGAAAAAUUCUAAGCUACAUCCAAA